rnacentral:lncRNA from 1 species
GACUCUGCAGGGAGAGAGGACAUCAGAAGCUACACAUUUGGGACCUUCUCAGGCUUCACCCUAUGCACCUCUUUUUGCUGAUCCUGAUUUGUAUUAUUUGUGCUAUAAUAACACUGUAAUUAUAUGUAUAGGACUUUCCUGAAUUCUCUGUCACUGUCAGUCUAUUAAAUGAUUGAGCAUGAAGAGAGAGUAGGAACCCCUGAGUAUUUAGCUUGUUGGUCAGAAGUGCUGGUGGCCUUGGAACUCAUAAGCUUGUGGCUAGUUUCUGAGCUAACCCAGGCACAACAGGAAUACAACCUUUUACUACAGAUGUGGGAUUGUUCAUGUCAUCUACUAAUGCAAGAUGGAUCUGAGAACGCUGUCUGGGCUUGGUACCAAGAGCUGGUAUUUCACAGCAGCGACCGCCUCACAGACGAGCUGUGGGAAGCAGGAGGGAGACUCUCUCUUAGGGUGCCACUACUAUGGAGACACAGCUGGGCUGAACAAGAUUUGCUUCAAACGACAACAAGAGAGACAGAAAGUAUCUGGUUCAACCGCUGCCCGAGCAGGCAGGCACCAGAAGAGCUAGCAGCCAAUCCGGCCAUGCUCGAAGCCAGCUCUGCAGCUCAGCCAAUCAGUGACAUCAUUGCUUUCUUUAGCUUGCCCAUGGUGAUGUGAAGAUGAGAAGAAAUAGCAAGGCCCAACCAGUUCUUCAUCUGGAGACAGUUCAACGUUCUGCAAACCAGGACAGUACUACAGAAGGACUAAGUAUAUAGGAAACUUGACUUAUUUAAAUAAGGCAGUGAAAAAAAUAGAAUAUGGGGAGUAAAACAACCUCUGAAGCUAAGUCUGCAUAUAUAAUAACUGGAUCUUCAGGAAUUUUACUGGGAUAAUUAUCCAAAUAAAUUGCAAGCAUUCUAUCCAAAUG